GGUGGGAAGCCAACCAGAGGGGAUGGGGAGCAGCUGGUCCCCCUUGACCAAAUUAAAAAGGCAGCCAUUAUUGAUGCUACAUUGAAGAAGUGGCCGGCAGCCAGCCGAGGGCAGAUAGGCACAUCUAUCAAUUCGAAGCUCACGGAGCUGAGAAGAUCAACAAGAUAAAUUGGUUUUUUUUUCUGUACAGUUUUUUGUCUUAUUUUUGUUCUUGUACUAUUUGAUUGUUCUUGAGUAAAUAAAUAAUUUAAAUUUCUA